GACCACUCCUUUCCCUAAAAAACCACUAGACCACUCCUUCCCCCAAAUCCACGAACCCUAACCCAUUGCAGCCGCCGCCGCCCCAAGCAUCAGAUCCCAUAGCUGCUGCCUCCGCCGCCCCCAACCGCCACCGCCGUCCCCAACCACCGCGGCCACCGCCGCCAACGUCCCCAACCACCGCCGCCGCCAUAGUCCCCAUCACACUACGGCGACCUCUACCCGGAGCACGCCGUCGCCCCACACCAUCGCAACUCCUCCGUCGCCCCAACCACACCCCACUGUUGUGCCCUCCACCAGGACCCCCAUGAGCACCCAACAAAGUCAGAGCUCGAGCCAUCGCCCCCAAGCACUUCACCGGCGACUAUCGCUUCAGAGCCGUGCCGUCAACCCCAAGCACUCAGCCAGCGACCAUCCUCCUCCGCUGUCGUCCCUCACCACCAUCCUCCUCUGCAGACCUCCCCUGAGCAGGCCCUCCGCACAAGCUCAACCGAGCACCAAGGAGGUCCUCAAGUGGCACCGCCUCCUUAUUGAGCUCCUCUGCAGCUGCACCUUCUCCAUCGGUGACACCUCCACUAGAGAUUGGCAAGGCGCCUCCAGAAUGUUGUCUCCUCUAGGUAGCGCCUCAUCUACCUCCUAGCUUGAAGCAGUGCUGCCUCACAUCCAGGGGCGGAGCCCAAUGGGCCGACCCCGAGGCACAAGAAUACGGGUAUAAUUUCAUAUUUACUAGUACAUGUCAUACUGAAAAAGGCUUGGGCAUCAGGGUUGAGGUGAAGUGGUGCAUCAGGGUCCACGAUCGCAGCCGCAUGACGGCCUACGCGCGCACACGUCCGCAGCCCACAGCCCACAAUUGGGUCGUACGCUUAGUAUGGCCUCUCCACGCCUGGCUAUCCAUUAUCUGUGCGCAGCCACGCAGCGGUUUCCAAUCCCCACUCCUCGCCGAAAAGUGGGAGCGGCCGAUCGAGGCGACGCCAUGCGCAGGAGUGGCCGUGUCGAUCGAUGCGACUACGCCGGCUUCAUGAAUCGAUCUCGGCAAGAACAUGAUCUACUUUGUCCAAUCGUUCGUCUACACUUCAGAUUGCAGCCAAUUCUAGUUCUGUCUGGGAUAUUCAAUCUUAGUAUGUGAUGACGUAUUUUGGAGUUUCGAAAUGGAAGGCAUCAUUUUCAAGCAAUUAUAGUGAAACUGGUCAAGAAUGGACAAGAGUUGGAUGGAUAAAGCUAGAAACACACAAGCAUAUAUUGACGGGGAUAUCGGCAUGAAGAUGGACAUGAAGGUGGAUGUGGACAUGAAGGGGAAUAUGGGGGUGGAUAUGAAGCAUUUGGAAGUGGACAAACCCAUGGCGAAAGCAGGAAUGCAACCACAAGCAAGCUGAGGAGGUAAUAUCCAUGUUUCCAAGAAUUUUUCAUGCCCUCAACUCUGUAAAUAUUUCCUAUAGUACAGUACUGAAGUUUACAAAAUAUUGUUCCUGGUUGCGUACCUUUUACGAAAUAUUUCAUAUAGGAAAUAGUACAGUACUGAUGUUUUUCAGUACUAUAUAAAUGUAUUUCAGUAUUGUACUAUAGGAAAUAUUUUAGUACUUACGAGUUUAAAUGACAACCAGAUUCUAAACUCCACUACUGUUACAGUACUGAAGCAACCUGUACUCUGGAAAGUACCGAAGUUUACAAAAUGAAAAUUUUCAUGCCCUCAACUCUGUACAGUACUGAUUUUUGGCAGAUUCUAAUUUGUUAAUAUCUAGCUAUACUGGCAGCUCCUUGCUCUUCCUACUCUGGCAAAUUUUUCCUGGUUGCGUUUUUUUUCGUGUGACAAAACAGAUUCUUUAUGAUGGGUAUUGCUGCUGCAUUUCCUGAAGUAUUUGGAUUGACGUGUCCCCUCCCCUGCCUAUUUGUACUUCUCAGUGUACUAUGUUUACUAUAGAUGUUGACGGAGAUUAGGAAGAUCUUGAAGACGCUGAUGAUUUGGAAAACCUAUGAUUAAGUUGCUGAGUGGUUAUGUAAUAUGCUUUGUUUGUUGAACCUGGACACUUGCUCUGCUCAUUUUGCUGGUUAAGCCACUAUAUGCUCAUUUUGGUUGUGGCACCCCCAGAAACAUAUGUACUUUCUCCUUUUGUGGCAAUACUUCAGUUUGGUUGUGGCACAUUUAACAUAUAUGUACUGUACCUUUUGUGGCAGAACCUCCUUAUGUAUAUAUGGAUAUUAUGUUUAUCUGAUGAUGUUUAAGGUUUUCUGGACGAGGCCUA